UACGGGGGGAGCAAGCGUUGUUCGGAUUUACUGGGCGUAAAGGGCUCGUAGGCGGCCAACUAAGUCAUACGUGAAAUCCCUCAGCUUAACUGGGGAACUGCGUGUGAUACUGGAUGGCUUGGAUUUGGGAGAGGGAUGCGGAAUUCCAGGUGUAGCGGUGAAAUGCGUAGAUAUCUGGAGGAACACCGGUGGCGAAGGCGGCAUCCUGGACCAAUAUUGACGCUGAGGAGCGAAAGCUAGGGGAGCAAACGGG
rnacentral:rRNA from 1 species